GACAGAGGGUGCAAACGUUGUUCGGAAUCACUGGGCGUAAAGCGUGUGUAGGCGGUCUUAUAAGUCGGAUGUGAAAGCCCCGGGCUCAACCCGGGAAGUGCACCCGAUACUGUAGGACUAGAGUACUGGAGAGGUUGGUGGAAUUCUCGGUGUAGAGGUGAAAUUCGUAGAUAUCGAGAGGAACACCGGUGGCGAAGGCGGCCAACUGGACAGAUACUGACGCUGAGACACGAAAGCGUGGGGAGCAAACAGG
rnacentral:rRNA from 1 species